rnacentral:rRNA from 1 species
UACAGAGGGGGCAAGCGUUAUUCGGAAUUAUUGGGCGUAAAGGGCGCGUAGGCGGCUUGGCAAGUGGAAGGUGAAAUCCCUCGGCUUAACCGAGGAACUGCCCUCCAAACUGCUUUGCUUGAGGCCGGGAGAGGUGAGUGGAAUUCCCAGUGUAGCGGUGAAAUGCGUAGAUAUUGGGAGGAACACCAGUGGCGAAGGCGGCUCACUGGACCGGUUCUGACGCUGAGGAGCGAAAGCGUGGGGAGCGAACAGG